AGCGGCGGAUGGGUGAGUAACACGUGGGGAACCUGCCCCUAAGUCUGGGAUACCAUUUGGAAACAGGUGCUAAUACCGGAUAAUAAAGCAGAUCGCAUGAUCAGCUUUUGAAAGGCGGCGUAAGCUGUCGCUAAGGGAUGGCCCCGCGGUGCAUUAGCUAGUUGGUAAGGUAACGGCUUACCAAGGCGACGAUGCAUAGCCGAGUUGAGAGACUGAUCGGCCACAUUGGGACUGAGACACGGCCCAAACUCC
rnacentral:rRNA from 1 species